GGGAUUGCCCUAGUAACGGCGAGUGAAGCGGCAACAGCUCAAAUUUGAAAGCUAGCCUUCGGGUUCGCAUUGUAAUUUGUAGAGGAUGAUUUGGGGAAGCCGCCUGUCUAAGUUCCUUGGAACAGGACGUCAUAGAGGGUGAGAAUCCCGUAUGUGACAGGAAAUGGCACCCUAUGUAAAUCUCCUUCGACGAGUCGAGUUGUUUGGGAAUGCAGCUCUAAAUGGGAGGUAAAUUUCUUCUAAAGCUAAAUAUUGGCGAGAGACCGAUAGCGCACAAGUAGAGUGAUCGAAAGAUGAAAAGCACUUUGGAAAGAGAGUUAAAAAGCACGUGAAAUUGUUGAAAGGGAAGCGCUUGCAAUCAGACUUGUUUAAACUGUUCGGCCGGUCUUCUGACCGGUUUACUCAGUUUGGACAGGCCAGCAUCAGUUUCGGCGGCCGGAUAAAGGCUCUGGGAAUGUGGCCUCCACUUCGGUGGAGGUGUUAUAGCCCAGGGUGUAAUACGGCCAGCCGGGACUGAGGUCCGCGCUUCGGCUAGGAUGCUG
rnacentral:rRNA from 1 species